CACAGCUCAGACACCCAUCCAUACCCCACAAGACAUGCCACCAGAGGUCUGUUUAAACUACUAACACACAGCUCAGACACCCAUUCAUACCCCACAAGACAUGCCACCAGAGGUCUGUUUAAACUACUAACACACAGCUCAGACACCCAUCCAUACCCCACAAGACAUGCCACCAGAGGUCUGUUUAAACUACUAGCACACAGCUCAGACACCCAUACAUACCCCACAAGACAUGCCACCAGAGGUCUGUUUAAACUACUAGCACACAGCUCAGACACCCAUUCAUACCCCACAAGACAUGCCACCAGAGGUCUGUUUAAACUACUAACACACAGCUCAGACACCCACCCAUACCCCACAAGACAUGCCACCAGAGGUCUGUUUAAACUACUAACACACAGCUCAGACACCCAUUCAUACCCCACAAGACAUGCCACCAGAGGUCUGUUUAAACUGCUAGCACACAGCUCAGACACCCAUUCAUACCCCACAAGACAUGCCACCAGAGGUCUGUUUAAACUACUACAGUAGCACACAGCUCAGACACCCAUCCAUACCCCACAAGACAUGCCACCAGAGGUCUCUUCACAAUCCCCAAGUCCAGAACAGACUAUGGGAGGCGCAC
ensembl:lncRNA